AUGAACGCUGGCGGCGUGCCUAAUACAUGCAAGUCGAGCGGACAGAUGAGGAGCUUGCUCCUCUGACGUUAGCGGCGGACGGGUGAGUAACACGUGGAUAACCUACCUAUAAGACUGGGAUAACUUCGGGAAACCGGAGCUAAUACCGGAUAAUAUAUUGAACCGCAUGGUUCAAUAGUGAAAGACGGUUUUGCUGUCACUUAUAGAUGGAUCGGCGCCGCAUUAGCUAGUUGGUAAGGUAACGGCUUACCAAGGCGACGAUGCGUAGCCGACCUGAGAGGGUGAUCGGCCACACUGGAACUGAGACACGGUCCAGACUCCUACGGGAGGCAGCAGUAGGGAAUCUUCCGCAAUGGGCGAAAGCCUGACGGAGCAACGCCGCGUGAGUGAUGAAGGUCUUCGGAUCGUAAAACUCUGUUAUUAGGGAAGAACAAAUGUGUAAGUAACUAUGCACGUCUUGACGGUACCUAAUCAGAAAGCCACGGCUAACUACGUG
rnacentral:rRNA from 1 species